CUUGGUUCGGAUCGGGCGAUUCCGGAGGCCCUGCCAUCGAGAAUCGGAUGGUGUAAGGUUAUGCACUUGCUUUGGAUAUGACUGCCAGAGAAAUUCAAGCUUCUGCUAAGAUAAAAUCUACAGAGAUUAGAAAGAGAAAAAGGGCAAAGGAAAGCUAUGGUGACUCUUGAAAGAUGGUUCAAGUCUCUGUUGGAGGGGAGAAUCAGACCAUUGAGUGGGCUAUACGACUAACAGUUGCUCUGAACAUUGCCAAAGCAUUAGAUCACUGCAGCAGCGAAUGCCGCCCAUUGUACCAUGACUUAAAUGCAUAUAUGGUUCUCUUUGAUAAGAGUUGGCUUCAUUUCAGUCCAGAAACUCUCUAAAUAGGUCCAAUAACUCACUAAAUAGCUUAUUUGAUUGUAUUUGUGGUUUCCCGGGGACGAACAAAUCCUCUCCUUAAACUUCGAUUCUCAGAAGAAUCACAUUUCUGAUGACCUCUGGGAGAGAAUGAUUAGUUGGAGGUUUAAGCUUUUGAUAAGAUACAAAUUGAAACAUUGAUUUGUGUUUGUGUGUUUAUCUCUCUCUCUCUCUCUCUCUCUCUCUCUCUCUCUAUAUAUAUAUAUAUAUAUAUA